GACGGGGGGUCCUAGCGUUGUUCGGAAUCAUUGGGCGUAAAGCGUGUGCAGGUGGUUUAGUAAGUUAGAUGUGAAAUCCUUGGGCUUAACCCAAGACGUGCAUUUAAAACUACUAGGCUUGAAUAUGGAAGAGGGUCGUGGAAUUCCUGGUGUAGUGGUGAAAUACGUAGAUAUCAGGAGGAACACCGGUGGCGAAGGCGGCGACCUGGUCCAAUAUUGACACUCAUACACGAAAGCGUGGGGAUCAAACAG
rnacentral:rRNA from 1 species